CCUACGGGGGGCAGCAGUAGGGAAUCUUUCACAAUGGGCGAAAGCCUGAUGGAGCAACGCCGCGUGCAGGAUGAAGGCCUUCGGGUUGUAAACUGCUUUUAUAAGCGAGAAAUAUGAUGGUAACUUAUGAAUAAGGAUCGGCUAACUACGUGCCAGCAGCCGCGGUCAUACGUAGGAUCCGAGCAUUAUCCGGAGUGACUGGGUGUAAAGAGUUGCGUAGGUGGCAUAAUAAGUAGCUAGUGAAAUCUGGUGGCUCAACCAUUCAGACUAUUAGCUAAACUGUUAAGCUCGAGACCGUUAGGGGUAACUGGAAUGUGUAGUGUAGGAGUGAAAUCCGUAGAUAUUAGAAGGAACACCAAUAGCGUAGGCAGGUUGCUGGGACGGUUCUGACACUAAGGCACGAAAGCGUAGGGAGCAAACGGGAUUAGAUACCCGUGUAGUC
rnacentral:rRNA from 1 species